CUUCGCCACCCGCGCCUGGUAAGAGCUGACGGCGCCCCGGAGCGCCGCUCAGCCAAUGGCCGCCGCUCUUCGUUUCUGGACACGCCCUCUUCAAAAGGACAGCCAGAGGUCCCUUCCUCUGAGGCUUUGGACGCUUGCCUGCUUCUAUUUCUCAGGAACAGAUAAGCCUAAUCCUUCGAGAGAAAGGCCUAAGCCCAUGAAUCAUUAAACAAUACGAAUACCACAGGGCAGUUAGUUUUCAGGGUGUUUUUUUUCUACAUUGGGGGGAAAAAAAAGCUCCCCGUAAAACAGUAAGCCAUGUUAGCUUUGCAGCAGCCUCCCAUGUCUCCUCUGUCACACAUCUCUGGGUUGCAACGGUCCCACCGUGCUCGAUUUCAUCUCAUAUUGUUCACCAGGACCUCGAAACCCAUGCUAAUGUCACCAUCAAGAGACCAAAAGGAAUCCUAGACUUGGAAACAGAAUUAAAAGCAGUAAGGACUAUGGAGGUGGGAAAUCAGAAAUGGUUACUGAGUGCCAGUCAGUCGUGUCCCAUUUGCUCAAAGCUAUCAUCUU
ensembl:lncRNA AABR07013165.1